AUUUGGUUUAAGGUUUAAGAUUCGGUUUAGGAUUUAGGAUGUGAUUUAGAGUUUAAGGUUUGAUUAAAGUUUGAUUUAGGGUUUAGAAUUUGGUUAGGAUUUGAUUUACGAUUAGGAUUUGAUUAAGAAUUGAUUUAGGAUUAAAAUUUGGUUAAGAUUUGAUUUAGGAUUAGGAUUUGGUUAACAUUUGAUUUAGGAUUAGGAUUUGGUUUAGGAUUUAGGAUUUAGUUAGGAUUUGGAUAGGAUUUGAUUAGGAUUUGGUUUAAAAUUUAGGAUUUGGUUUAAGAUUUAGGAUUUGAUUUAGAAUUUAAGGUUUGAUUAGAAUUUAGUUUAGAGUUUAGGAUUUGGUUACGAUUUGAUUUAGGAUUAAAGUUUGGUUAGAGUUUGAUUUAGGAUUAGGAUUUGAUUUAAGAUUUAGGAUUUGAUUAGAAUUUGGUUAGGAUUAGUUUAGGAUUUAGGAUUUGAUUUAGAAUUUAAGGUUUGAUUAGGAUUUGAUUUAGGGUUUAGAAUUUGAUUAGGAUUUUAUUUAGGAUUUAAUUUAGGAAUUAAGAUUUUAUUAGGAUUUAUUUAGGAUUUAAGAUUUAGUUAGUUUUUGGCCUAAAGUUUGAAUGAAGUCUAAUAGGAUUUUAACUAAGAUUAGAUUAAGAUU
rnacentral:lncRNA from 1 species